rnacentral:rRNA from 1 species
UCCGGCGGCUAUAGCGAAGAGGACACACCCGUUCCCAUCCCGAACACGGAAGUUAAGCUCUUUUGCGCUGAUGAUACUUGGCGGGUAACUGCCCGGGAAAGUAGGACGCUGCCGGAU